AUCCAGUGCCACCCCUGUCAUGGCAGGGACACCUUCCACUGCUCCAAGCCUGGCCCUGGGCGCUGCCUGGGAUCCAGGGGCAGCCACAGCUGCUCUGGGCACCUGUGCCAGGGCUGCCCACUUCACAGGGAGGAAUUCCUGCCCAACAUCCCAUCCCAUCCCAUCCCUGCCCAACAUCCCAUCCAGCCCUGCCCAACAUCCCAUCCAUCCCUGCCUGACAUCCCCUCUAUCCCUUCCCAACAUCCCAUCCAUCCCUGCCUGACAUCCCAUCCCAUCCCUGCCCAACAUCCCAUCCAGCCCUGCCCGACAUCCCAUCCAUCCCUGCCUGACAUCCCCUUUAUCCCUUCCCAACAUCCCAUCCAUCCCUGCCUGACAUCCCAUCCAUCCCUGCCUGACAUCCCAUCCCAUCCCUGCCUGACAUCCCAUCCAUCCCUUCCCAACAUCCCAUCCAUCCCUGCCCAACAUCCCAUCCCAUCCCUGCCCAACAUCUCAUCCCAUUCCUGCCCUCUGGCAGUGGGAAACCAUCCCCCUGGGUCCCUCCCCAGCUCUCCUGCAGCCCUGGUAGGUUCUGGAAGGUUCUCUCAGGUCUCCCUGCAGGCCCACAGCAGGCCGUGCUGGGGCAGGGCAGGGCUGGGAGCCUGCAGGGCACAGUCCCGGUGUCUGCACAGAGCGGGGGCAGGAGCAGCCUGUGCCCCUGCCCUGCAGGGCAGCCCAGGGCAGUGCCAGGUGAGUGUGUAUGUACCUGGUGGUGGUUAUGGUGUGUGCCUGGUGUCAUGGGUGCAGAGGCAGCAGAAGAUGCACCCCAGGUCCCCGCUGUGCCUGCAGAAGGAUUCCUGCUGCUGCCAGGCUCUGCUGGAGAGCCCUGCUCAGAGCUGGGCCAGUUUAACUCUGCGCUGGAGGAGCCCUGGGUGCCUGGACCCUGGCUCCUGCUGGAUGCCAGUGAUGGAUCCGAUCCUCAGCCUUGUGCUGUGCAUGUCUGCGUCUCAGGGUGUGAGGCUGGAUUGUUCCAACAGAGCCUCUGGGCUGUGCUGGAGCCCCCAGUUGCCCCCAUCCCACCAGGCAGGGCCCUCAGCACCAGCUCCUGAUAACCUCGUGUGGCAGCCACUGCCAGCAGCCCAGCCCUUCUCUGGCACAGAAAGGACAAAUUAAAUAAACA
rnacentral:lncRNA from 14 species